AUACGUAGGGUGCGAGCGUUGUCCGGAAUUACUGGGCGUAAAGAGCUCGUAGGUGGUUUGUCGCGUCGUCUGUGAAAUUCCGGGGCUUAACUCCGGGCGUGCAGGCGAUACGGGCAUAACUUGAGUACUGUAGGGGAGACUGGAAUUCCUGGUGUAGCGGUGAAAUGCGCAGAUAUCAGGAGGAACACCGGUGGCGAAGGCGGUUCUCUGGGCAGUAACUGACGCUGAGGAGCGAAAGCAUGGGUAGCGAACAGGAUGAGAUACCCUGGUAGUCCAUGCCGUAAACGGGGGGCGCUAGGUGUAGGGGUCUUCCACGACUUCUGUGCCGUAGCUAACGCAUUAAGCGCCCCGCCUGGGGAGUACGGCCGCAAGGCUAAAACUCAAAUGAAUUGACGGGG
rnacentral:rRNA from 1 species